GGCUGGGGUGAGAGUGGAUGGACGUUUAUAAGAUUACGAGAGGAAUAGAUAGAGUGGACAGACGAUAUAUUUUUCCUGGGGGUUGAAAUGUCUAAUACAUUUAAGGUGAGAGGUGAUGUGAGCGGCAAGUUUGCUUCUUUCCACAGACGAAUGAGUAGCUGGAUGGGGGCCUGGGUGGGGGCGGUGUCACCAAUCCCGACACGUGAUUCCGUUUGCCCCUCCCAUUUAACCGCAGAUGGGCAACAUCUGCGCGUCUGUUACUCAGGCCCCGCCUCCCGAUGAUGUAACAAUCUGUUCGCGCAUGUUCACAGUCUCCGGGUGGACGGUGUUAUCCUCUCCGCUCAGAGCUGAAGUGGGUCGGUGGUGUGUUCGGGAAAGACUUUCGUCUCUUCCGUCGGGAUCACUGUCUGCGGGCCGAAGAUAUCACUUUCCCAUCGUUAGACCUGCGGUGCGAGGUUUAUUGGAAGAAAAACCGCAACUGGAAGCAAACCACGACUGAAGAUGAGGGAACAGCAACAAAUGAACCAGCCCGAGGACUGAGAGCAUCAACUGGAGAGGACCCAUCUGACUCAGUGAUUCAGUCAGGAGAAAGUUUGUUAGACCUGUGGUGAGAGAUUUAUUGGAAGAAAAACCGCAACUGGAAGCAAACCACGACUGAGGACGUGGGAACAGCAACAAGUGAACCAGCCCGAGGACUGAGAGCAUCAACUGGAGAGAACCCAUUUGACUCGAAGAUUCCAGUGAUUCAGUCAGGAGAAAGUUUGGUUAAAAAUGAGAAGGUAUUAGUCUCCAGGAAGCUCAAGCACGGCACAACAGUUUUGAUGUCUCUGUCUAGAUGUUUAAAAAGUGGAGCAAGGGAACCAAUUGACUAUCCUUCCUGUUCAGACUGUGGGGAGGGAUUCACUUGGGCAUUAGACCAACUGGCACACCUGUAAUUUACACAGGAGAAAGACCGUUCACCUGCUCAGACAGUGGGAAUGGAUUCACUCAGUUAUCACAAUUGAAUGUACAUCAGCAAGUUCACACUGGGCAAGGCCAUUCAUCUGUUCUGUGUGUGAGAAGGGGUUCAGACAGUCUUCUCACCUGUGAACAUACCAAUCAGUUCACACCACACCGGGC